rnacentral:rRNA from 1 species
GACGAACGCUGGCGGCGUGCCUAAUACAUGCAAGUAGGACGCAGUUGCGAACGGGUGAGUAACGCGUCGGUAACUGCCUAUUAGAGGGGGAUAACUAUUGGAAACGAUAGCUAAUACCGCAUACUAGUAGAUUGACCUGCGUUGUAUUAGCUAGUAGGUAGGGUAAUGGCCUACCUAGGCGACGAUACAUAGCCGACCUGCGAGGGGGAUCGGCCACACUGGGACUGGGAAAGGGCCCAGACUCCUACGGGAGGCAGCAGUAGGGAAUCUUCGGAAAUGGGGGGAACCCUGACCGAGCAACGCGGGGUGAGUGAAGAAGGUUUUCGGUUGGUAAAGCUCUGUUGUUAAGGAAGCGGUACUUAAACAGAAAGGGACGGCUAACUACGUGCCAGCAGCCGCGGUAUC